rnacentral:lncRNA from 1 species
CCAAAUAAGAAAAUAAAUUAAUAUUAAUUUUAAAAAAAUAUAUCUCAUUAAAUCUUAGCAAAUUAAAAGAAGCACCAAAUAAAAAUAUUAAUAUCACAAUAACUAAACUUAUAUUGUUUAAACUAAAUAGCUAAUCAUUAUAUAAUUAAUCCAAACAAAUGAUAAUCUUCAAACGAUUUUCGCAAUUUUUCAUCAUUAUGAAAUCUUCCACCAGCUGAAUUAUCGAGAAUCAAACUGUAUGACCUGGAAUAAUAAAAUAAUUAUAUCAGAAGAUAAAAUACAAUGCAGAAAAACAUCUUCGAAAUUCCAUCACUGUCACGAUUCAUAAAUAGAAAAAUAUUGCUAUUAACAUAACAACAACCAUCAAGCAGAAUAACCACAAAGUGCAGAAAAUUUCAGCUGAAAACAGUCACCAAAAACUGCAGAAACAUACAGAUUUUAUUUGCUCUACUGCUAGCUGCUGUCAACAGAUUUGGAAACAGUCAACAAAAACAGCAGCUGGUGAUCGAGCUGCUGUUGAACCAGUUGAUAAAUCAGCAGUAGCAGUGCUUGGACUAGACAAAGCAGGAGAAGAACUCUUUUAUCUACCAUGAGUCUGCAUCAUUAGUUCUGAAUCAUGAAGUGCUUGCUUGAUCCACUUAUUGGACGUACAAAUCUAAGAACUGUCUCAUGCCUUUAGUUGAAGGUUGUCAUUUUUGUCGUCAAUGUGCUUAGUGUUAUACAACUAAUAUUGACAAGGCGACACGGGAUAGAACGAGAUCUAGUGCGGCUAGAGUUAAGGUUAUAAUUGAUCCUUUGGAUAAACAUCCUAAAAAGGUUAAGUUGUAGAUUUUCGAUCGAAUUACAGGUAAACCUGUUGUGUUCUAUCAAGAAAUAGUGUACGAUAAUCUCCCUAAAUAUGCACUUAUUGCAAGCACCAAGGACAUGACCAAGGGGCGUGUCGAAUUAUGAAAAAACAAGCAGAAACAAAGGCGGAGGUAGAGGAAGUAACAGGGGCAGCACCUGUUCAUGUUUUGCUCAAGGAAGAUGGUCCAGGUAUGGAAAAACUACAAGGUGAUGCAAGGGAUUAUUUAAUUGCUAAAAGAGCCGGGCAAAUUUUUAAUGAUUUAGCAGAAAAGGCUGGUAAGCAAGGAGUUGAUGCAGCAAAAGAAAUUGUGACUGAUCAGCAGUUUUUGCAAUCUGAAUGAGUAAAACAAAUGGUUAAUGUGAAUCGUGCAAGUGCAGUUAUAGAUGAUACUGUACAAAUCCAGUCAGCUGGGAAGUUCAAUGUUGUGAAUAGGCUAGGAAAAACUCAAAAAAAUGAUGACCAAGAGGUGAUGCAACAAAGCAAACUGUGGGUAAUCAGAAGCUAGAGGCACCAUUAGAUAAUCAAGUAGAAUAAUAUGAUAAGGAUCUUAUACACAUGGAAAUCAGAGAAUUGGCUAUUCAACAUGAUGAAGGGCCUCUAUAAGUGGGCGUGCAGAGGAUAGCACUAAUUCAGUUACAAAUGCCGCUAUAAAUGAUGUAAAGAUUGGGCAAGAAACUUUUCAGAAAACAGACACUGAGAGAGGAAAAGAAUGAAGAAAGCUCGUCUGACUUGGUUGUCUAUCAUGAUAUUAUAGUUCAUGUACUUCAUCUUCUUGUGGUAUCUGCUAAUUGAUGUCACUGUUUAUGGAAUUUUGGUUCACUUCAACUCUAUAUUUUGAUUACAGCUGCUUCAAGAAAUGGAAGAAUUGAAAGCUUCUAAGGAAGAGCAAAAUCAUAGGAUAUGUAGUUUGGAACAGAAGUUGGUACGCAAUCUCAGAGCUGUAGUAGCAUAUGUAUUCUGUAUUGAAACUGCAUUCCUUCUUGUUUUGGCUCUGUUGGAGAACACGGACGCAGAAGACAUGCACUAUGUUAAGCAUCUUGGGAUAAUGGACUAAUACAGAGAUCUGAUUUUUUCCUUUGGUAUUUGUUUUCCCUUUGGUAUUUGUUUUUUAUAUGUGUGUAUGUAUGUGUGUGUGUAUUUUUUUUUUUCUUCUUGUUUUGUCUCUGUUGGAGAACACGGAGCAGAGACAUGCACUAUGUUAAGCAUCUUGGGAUAAUCAUCUUGGGAUAACGGACGAAUACAGAGAUCUGAUCUUUUCCUCUCAUUUUUUCCCAUUGGUAUUUGUUUUGUGUGUGUAUGUGUGUGAGUGUAUUUUUUUUUGGGGGGGGGGAGGUGUUGGCAUUGGCAUGAGUCAGAAAACACAUAUUUCAUAUAACACUGGGAUCAUAUGCAACCCAAGGAUUCCAGUUUUGACUGUGAAAAGUCAUCAGUCUGUCAUCUUUCAAACAAAAUAAAGGAGUUUAAGAAGGAUCUUGACAUUUGUCUCCUCUUUUAAAGUAGAUGAAACAUCAAAACAAGCAAUAACUUUCAGUGGUCUUCAGGAUACAAUGGGAUGUAUGUAUCUAAGAAAAGCUAGCCUAAUUUCUGGAAGAGGAUGAUAGGGAUAUUGUUACCAGAAAAUUAUUUUUAAUGUAACACGUAUGAGAAAAUUAUCUGUUUUCAAAUGAUAUUUAUGUUAAUUGACGAAAUUAGCGAGGAAGUCGACCAAAAGAUAGAACUAUGAAAAAUCCCUCUAGAGAGUAAAGGCUUAACGAUUAAGCAGAAGUGACAUAGAAUAUAUGCACUUCAAAUUUAGCCCCCUGUAAGAAAAACGCAAGUCGGGUGAAUUAGAUGACAGUCUUGUGCCUAAAUACAAACAUUCAGGUAUAGGCUCAGUCCUCUAGGAUAAUGAAAUGAUUGAUAUACCUUAAAUAAUAAUGUUUUUAGGUGGUAUAAUGGUGGAGCUAGGCUGAUUCAUGGGGUUGUUAGUGUUAGGAACAUAUUGAAGGACAAAAGUAACAUGAGUAGUAAUUAUAGAACUGGUUAGUUUGCUUACUUUAAAACUCUUAAGUCAGGCUUUAAUUGUUGAGAGAAGAAGAUACUGGAAUGCUGCAGAAUUCAUUCCCAGAAGCUCGUCCAAUG